GACGGGGGAUGCAAGUGUUAUCCGGAAUCACUGGGCGUAAAGCGUCUGCAGGUGGUUUCCUAAGUCCACUGUUAAACCUUGAGGCUCAACCUCAAAUCUGCAUUGGAAACUAGGAGACUUGAGUAUGGUAGGGGUAGAGGGAAUUUCCAGUGGAGCGGUGAAAUGCGUAGAUAUUGGAAAGACCACCGAUGGCGAAGGCACUCUACUGGGCCAUUACUGACACUGAGAGACGAAAGCUAGGGGAGCAAAUGGG
rnacentral:rRNA from 1 species